rnacentral:rRNA from 1 species
ACGCUCGACACCUACGGGAGGCAGCAGUGGGGAAUAUUGCACAAUGGGGGAAACCCUGAUGCAGCGACGCCGCGUGAGCGAAGAAGUAUUUCGGUAUGUAAAGCUCUAUCAGCAGGGAAGAAACUGACGGUACCUGACUAAGAAGCACCGGCUAAAUACGUGCCAUCAGCCGCGGUAAUCUGAGCGGGCUGGCAAGGC